GAUGAACGCUGGCGGCGUGCUUAACACAUGCAAGUCGAACGAUGAAGCCCAGCUUGCUGGGUGGAUUAGUGGCGAACGGGUGAGUAACACGUGAGUAACCUGCCCUUAACUCUGGGAUAAGCCUGGGAAACUGGGUCUAAUACCGGAUAGGAGCGUCCACCGCAUGGUGGGUGUUGGAAAGAUUUAUCGGUUUUGGAUGGACUCGCGGCCUAUCAGCUUGUUGGUGAGGUAAUGGCUCACCAAGGCGACGACGGGUAGCCGGCCUGAGAGGGUGACCGGCCACACUGGGACUGAGACACGGCCCAGACUCCUACGGGAGGCAGCAGUGGGGAAUAUUGCACAAUGGGCGAAAGCCUGAUGCAGCGACGCCGCGUGAGGGAUGACGGCAUUCGGGUUGUAAACCUCUUUCAGUAGGGAAGAAGCGAAAGUGACGGUACCUGCAGAAGAAGCACCGGCUAACUACGUG
rnacentral:rRNA from 1 species